rnacentral:tmRNA from 1 species
CGCCUUCUAAUCCGCUGCCCAUGCGCCUAUAUUGGGGGGGUCAGGGUCCGCCCUGACUAUGGAGAUAAACGCGCACGUCAUAAGCGGACUGGACCCGGGUGCGAUUCCCGGCGGCUCCACCAAUCUUCCUUUCCGGGUAUCGCCGGAGAGUGCGGGGCCGAUCAGCAUCGACAGACGUCUAAAGGUGUUGCUUUCUCUCGGCCUUGCCCACCGUUCCGGGCCUUAAACUAAAUGCGAACGAUAACUUCGCUGAAGAGGUUCGCCUCGCCGCGUAAUGUGGCGGGUCGUUUCUCGACCUAAAGCCCUGAUGUCUUAGCAGCGUCAGGCGGGGCUCGGAGGGGGCCUGGCAACAGAACCCCUCCACU